AGCGAACGCUGGCGGUAGGCCUAACACAUGCAAGUCGAACGGCAGCACAGUAAGAGCUUGCUCUUACGGGUGGCGAGUGGCGGACGGGUGAGGAAUACAUCGGAAUCUACUUUUUCGUGGGGGAUAACGUAGGGAAACUUACGCUAAUACCGCAUACGACCUACGGGUGAAAGCAGGGGAUCUUCGGACCUUGCGCGAUUGAAUGAGCCGAUGUCGGAUUAGCUAGUUGGCGGGGUAAAGGCCCACCAAGGCGACGAUCCGUAGCUGGUCUGAGAGGAUGAUCAGCCACACUGGAACUGAGACACGGUCCAGACUCCUACGGGAGGCAGCAGUGGGGAAUAUUGGACAAUGGGCGCAAGCCUGAUCCAGCCAUACCGCGUGGGUGAAGAAGGCUUUCGGGUUGUAAAGCCCUUUUGUUGGGAAAGAAAAGCAGCAGGUUAAUACCCCGCUGUUCUGACGGUACCCAAAGAAUAAGCACCGGCUAACUUCGUG
rnacentral:rRNA from 1 species